rnacentral:sRNA from 1 species
GAGCGAUCAUAAGGGCGCUGACUGCAAAUCUGCCGUCAUCGACUUCAAAGGUUCGACUCGAGCGAUAGCGAGAGAACGUUGCCAACGGCAACGGCCCGAAGGGUGAGGAGCUUUAGCUCCGAGUAAUCCUUCCCUGUUAUCGA